CAGUAGCCACGGUAAUACGAGGGUGCAAGCGUUACUCGGAAUCACUGGGCGUAAAGGACGCGUAGGCGGAUUAUCAAGUCUCUUGUGAAAUCUAACGGCUUAACCGUUAAACUGCUUGGGAAACUGAUAAUCUAGAGUAAGGGAGAGGCAGAUGGAAUUCUUGGUGUAGGGGUAAAAUCCGUAGAUAUCAAGAAGAAUACCUAUUGCGAAGGCGAUCUGCUGGAACUUAACUGACGCUAAUGCGUGAAAGCGUGGGGAGCAAACAGGAUUAGAUACCCCCGUAGUCCCUGUCUCUUAUACA
rnacentral:rRNA from 1 species